GUUUAGUUUCCAGACCAUCAUAUUUUGAUAGACUGUGCUUCGCCAAUGCCUCACGCAAAAAGGGCUAUAUAAACAUAUAUAGUGAUUUCUAAAACAACAUAUAUACAACACAUCGUUAUAAUACAUGCAUCAGUAUUUACCCUUCAGCCCACACUCUAAAACACUAUGGUUAAAUUUUCCCAUGGUUAACCUAGAAAUAAAGUCUGGGUUACACUAUCAAAGUUUCUGUGCAUGAUCUCAGUAGGAAUUUUGCAUAGGUAAAUUCUACGUUUUGAAGGAUUUGUAUACAGAAAUGUUUGAACAAACUGACUCAAUGUUAGACAGCGAGUCAGUUCCCUCAAACAUUUCUAACAAAUCCUUCAAAACGUACAACUUACCGAUGCAAAAUUCCUACUGUGAUCACAGAAACUUUGAUAGUGUAAACCAGGCUUAACCCUAUUUGGGUCAACUAUAAUAUUUCGGUUUAAAUUUCUUGGUUAUUUUAACGUUUUCCCACUAUAGUCUGGUUAAAUUGACCAGACUAUAUGUUGGGUGGAUAAAUAACCACGGCUCAGGUUAUAUAUCCACCUAUAGCAUAGUCUGGUUAGUCUGGUUAUUUUAACAGGGACGUCCUGGGUCAUAUAUAACCAAAUUCCUGGUUACAUUAACCAGACUAUGGUACGAAGUGAGAUAAACUAACCACGAAAUCUAACUAGAAAUAUGAAGGGGAAUUUCAACCAGAGUGCAGUUUUUAGAGUGCAGCUUUGGAAAUUAAAAAUAGAAAGACAUCGUUUGUGUAAUCAGUCUAUACUGCCUACCUAUCUUGGUGACAGAUUUAAAAAUCUGGAAUAGUUUCCUUUAUAGUUCAAACAAUUGGACCAUGUUCGCCGUUUCUGGCACAGAACUAUAAAAGCCUGCAUAAAAUAUGCAUUAUGCAGGCUUAUUUUAAAGCUUUUCCUUUAAUCUUCACAUCGUUCUUCUCAAGUGAUGAAAACACAUUUUAUUUACAGCUGUGAUUCCUUCCUGUACUAGGGCUUUGUCCCUUUAGGCUUCGCGGUAUUGUUGCUUCGUCGGUUGUCUGGUAGACUACACCGCUGUUCAUCAAUACGGUUGGAUUGCAGACGCAAUAUUAGGCCAAAGAAAUCUUCAUCUGGCACGGUAGGGGCUUGUUGUAUAAGAUCGGGGUCACAACGUUGGUCGUUGAUACGCGAUUCCUG